UGGCUCAGUGGUAGAGUGCUUGCCUAGCAUGCAUGAAGCCCUGGGUUUGUUUCCCAG
rnacentral:tRNA from 1 species